UUUUAUUAUAGAAAUACAAAAGAAAUUUACUCUUUUAAAAAAAACAGAUUUAGGACAAACCAGAUGAGAUAGUAUUCUCUAGGUUAUUACUGGGUUUAUAUAUUGAAAUCUAUGAGCAAUGCUGAUGAUAUUACUGAGAUGCAAACUUUAAGUAAUCCCCCAACUUUAUCAAGUCUAUUUUCAGGGAGAAGGAAAACCAAAAAUUCUAAUUAUAUUAAAUAUUUGGUCACUGUAGAUCCUUAAAUUCUCUGAAACUUCUACACCUGAUCAAUUCUUUUGUUUCAACAUACUUAAACACAUACAUUUUGUUUGUUUCAAAUACAUUAACAUAUAAAUACCAGCAACAUAGAACAAACAAAAUAUUUUUCAUUAUGUACCAAAAUUGGGCAAAUUUAAUUUAAGUUUCUCAGUUCCCAAGUAAAGUAUCUAUUCGUUUGCUUAUCAGUUCUUGAGAGUUUAAGUAUAGUGCAUGACAUUUUCUAAAAUUCUCAGCUUUAAAAUCCUGUCCUCAACACUAAACGAGUAAAUCUUCAGGAGGUAGUUUUUAGGGAGUAAUAACUACUCUCGGCAAACCCAAUCUAAAAACACAUCAAGACAAAAUUACACAAAUUAAAAAGAAAGAUAAAUUAUAAAUACUAUAUGCACAUACCCACUACAGUGCUCUAGAGUCAUCUUUAAUGAAUUAUGUUUUCUUAAAGUUCAAGUAAUAUAUUCCUAAAUUUAAGGUAGAUCAGAUACUAAAAUAGUUUGUUUCAUUCAUCUUAUUAUUUACAUUUCAAUCUUUUCCAACAAGCAGUUAAAAUAACUUUUUAAAAACUGACAAUUCUAAUUAAAUAUUGCACAGUUGCCUAAUAUGCUAAAUAAAACAGUCCCUGAGGCCCAUUCAACCUCCUUUUAAGAAUAGUAGAUAAACUCCAGUACUUCCUCAGAGCUGAAUCUCCAAACAUCUAUUUUCUUUCAAUUUUAACCACACAGUCAAUGUUGCUUUGUCUUCCUUUACAUUUGUUGUGAAAUCUUCUGCCACUUUCUUUUCCCUUUCUUGUUGAAGUUGUCAGAUUCUAUAUUUUCCCUUCAGUAUUUCACUCAGCCUUAAUGAAAAUUAACCUCACAGUCAAAAUAAAAUGGAGCUUAAUGGAAGAAAAGAAGAAGGUAAUAAGUUUAUAAGAAAACUGAUGCCAUACCUAGGAAAAUCAGUGUCAAAAGCUGUGAUCAUGUUAUCACUUGAUGAUACAACAUCAUUAACACGGCUGAUGUAAAGUUACCCUGAGUAUAAGUAAUUGUGUCUGAGAGAACACAGGUGUGAGUGUACCUACCACCCACUGGAUUUCACUCAGAAUCUGUGAAGGUCAUAUGUUGUCAUCACAUUUCAGGACCUGAUACCAAAAUAGCAGCACCUUUGAUGAUAAAAGAUAAGGCUGCAGCAUGAACGGAAAACCAAUCACCUUCUUUAUAAUGCAGAAAGCUCACACUGCAAGGCAUUUCCAUUCUAAUAGAAAAACACUUCACACAUUCCACAGAUCAAAAGAUAUUUGAAUCCCUCAUAUCUGAUAUUUCAUUUCAUGUUCCAGGCUAUUCUCCUUUCUCUCUCUACCUCUCCCUUCACUCCCCUUCCCUGUUCUCUCCUCCUUAACCCUUGACCAUGUUUCCUUACUAAAUCACACCACAAGCAAUAGUUUCAACUUUGCCUUAAUCAAAUACACAUAAACCAAUCACACUGAUUAAAUGAGCACCAAAGAUUUACAACAGGCUCUGUAGAAAAUAAAACUAUGGAUAUAACAUCUAUAGUAUAGUUUACAUUUUCAAAGUUGCAAACUUUCUGUUUAUUCACUUUUGGUUCACUUGAUUAUGUUUUGCAAACUUGAAGUUCAGGAAGCCAAAUAAAAUCCACAAGAGAUUUUAGGGCACAAUAAUAAUCUGGUGUUUAAAUUGAACUUUUCCUAAACAAUUUAAAAAUAUACAAAUAAAAAAUAAUAAUCCAUAUCUUUCUCUAGUUUUCUGGAAUUCAGAAAUAGUUGAUUCUGGAAUAAAUUAGUUUGGAAAUUAUUUUGUAUAAUUGAUCAUGAUAUAGUAAGCGUAUAUUCUAUUAGCUUGUCUGAGUGUAGUAUGAUCUUUUUUUUUUAUUUUUUAAAAGCAAUAUCUUCACUGAAGUAAUUCUAUUUGUGGCCAUAACAUUUAAGAAUCUGAAUCUUCUUCAGUUUCCAUUAGCUUAUUUAUUAAUCAGAGUCAUGUCUGUCCAUUCUUCAAGGCCAAAUUAUUCUAGGCUCCUUUAUAAAACUACCCAGGUUAUUCUAAAUCUAUCAUGUAGUUACUAAUAUAUAUUAUUCUAUUUAUCCUAGUUUUGGGAAAUAUUCAUCCCCUACUCUCAAUACAUGUGGUUCCCAUGAAACAGAUUCCAUUUGUAGAUACAUGCCUGGCAUGUGACUUAUACCUGGCCAAUAAAAUCCUCAUAUUUCUCUGCCUUAGUGAUUGCCUCAAGAAUGAGUACAUGACCUUAUCAGAACCAACUGAACAGGUUUUACUAAUAUUUCUUAUGGAGAAUUUAUCUACUUUCUCUGCAGUAGUUGGCUAGUUGUUCCCAACUUGCAAACACAAGGAGUAUGUCUGUCUGAGAAUGACUAAUAUGAAAGAGAUCUAAGAUCUACAGAGUAAACAGAUUAAGGACAUUGUUUGAUCCUCUGACUCAAGCAGCUAAUGAGUCUAUAUGUAUUGUUAAAAAUCUCAGUUUCCAAGGAUAAUGAUUUUGCCUUUUGUUUGAACCAAUUUAGGUUAAAUUUUCUGUACCUUGCUACCAAAAGUCUUAAUUGACUCACAGCAAUGAACACUGUUACUUCAGAUUUCCUGUAGAAAUUGAAACUGUACAAAUUGUCAUUUAAUAAUAUACAGGCUUAAAUUAUUUAGUACUUAUUAAGGAAUUCUUGUUUUUAAUCUCUCUGAUAGGAUUUAAUUUCUACAAGGAAAAUUUUAUAAUUAGCCAUGUUCUCCUGUA
rnacentral:lncRNA from 1 species